UUUUUAGCCCACACAACAGCAAACAAGAUACUGGAAGUCUCCCUAUGCUCCAGCAGGUGGUGAAGAUGGAGGAAGUGCGUCAUCUGAGGAUGGGACUACCAAUGUAUGAGACGCUGCUGUUGGCUCUUUACUCUUGUGAGAACUGCUAAUUGUUAUUCGGAUACCUACAUAGGUAAUGAGUACUUUUCUGUUGUUUUCCAAAUAAAGUCUGGUAAAAAUGUUUUGUUGUUAGCUAAAGGAACAAACUAUAAUUAUAAUGCAACUGAGAUUUAAGAAGCUUCAGUUUCUGCUGUUCCAUAUGUUUUUCUGUGUGGGACAUCGCUGCUCAUUUUAUGAUAAAUGUAAAUAAAAAGGCUUAUGUAUGACUAGCAAAACAAUUUUUCUGCUGUUUAUUAUUACAGGUAUCUGGUUGUAUUGUUGAAACUAUACAUGUCCUUUGUAUUUUACUUGGGAAAUGACAAUUGUCUCCAAUUAACUCU